GGUGAAAAGCACCCCGGAAGGGGAGUGAAAUAGAACCUGAAACCGUGUGCUUACAAGUAGUCAGAGCCCGUUAAUGGGUGAUGGCGUGCCUUUUGUAGAAUGAACCGGCGAGUUACGAUUUGAUGCAAGGUUAAGCAGUAAAUGUGGAGCCGUAGCGAAAGCGAGUCUGAAUAGGGCGUUUAGUAUUUGGUCGUAGACCCGAAACCAGGUGAUCUACCCUUGGUCAGGUUGAAGUUCAGGUAACACUGAAUGGAGGACCGAACCGACUUACGUUGAAAAGUGAGCGGAUGAACUGAGGGUAGCGGAGAAAUUCCAAUCGAACCUGGAGAUAGCUGGUUCUCUCCGAAAUAGCUUUAGGGCUAGCCUCAAGUGAUGAUUAUUGGAGGUAGAGCACUGUUUGGACGAGGGGCCCCUCUCGGGUUACCGAAUUCAGACAAACUCCGAAUGCCAAUUAAUUUAACUUGGGAGUCAGAACAUGGGUGAUAAGGUCCGUGUUCGAAAGGGAAACAGCCCAGACCACCAGCUAAGGUCCCAAAAUAUAUGUUAAGUGGAAAAGGAUGUGGCGUUGCCCAGACAACUAGGAUGUUGGCUUAGAAGCAGCCAUCAUUUAAAGAGUGCGUAAUAGCUCACUAGUCGAGUGACACUGCGCCGAAAAUGUACCGGGGCUAAACAUAUUACCGAAGCUGUGGAUUGUCCUUUGGACAAUGGUAGGAGAGCGUUCUAAGGGCGUUGAAGCAUGAUCGUAAGGACAUGUGGAGCGCUUAGAAGUGAGAAUGCCGGUGUGAGUAGCGAAAGACGGGUGAGAAUCCCGUCCACCGAUUGACUAAGGUUUCCAGAGGAAGGCUCGUCCGCUCUGGGUUAGUCGGGUCCUAAGCUGAGGCCGACAGGCGUAGGCGA
rnacentral:rRNA from 1 species